GGAAAAGUGUCUGGGCCAACUUCUGAUUGCUGUGCUGAAUGAGGAAAACAAAUACAGGUAGACACCACACUGAUGGAGGGCAAGAAGAGGAGAACAGCUUCUGGGUGGACAAACAGGAACACUCUGACACCUGACUGUGGAAAAAGAGGAUGGCCUAAUUAGACCUAGUCAGGGAGAGCUGACAAAAGCUCGCCUUAGGACAUGUUUCUUAGAGUCUUUCCUGUGACAUGUCUACGUGUCAACAGAUUAUGCUGUAUCUUCUCAAAGCUUGUCUUUGUAGGCCAAAGACCUCUGUGUCCUAAAA
ensembl:lncRNA